UACGGAGGGUGCAAGCGUUGUCCGGAUUUAUUGGGUUUAAAGGGUGCGUAGGCGGCCCGGUAAGUCAGUGGUGAAAGCCUCCAGCUCAACUGGAGAACUGCCAUUGAUACUGCCGGGCUUGAGUACAGACGAGGUUGGCGGAAUUGAUUGUGUAGCGGUGAAAUGCAUAGAUACAAUCAAGAACUCCGACUGCGUAGGCAGCUAACUAGGCUGUAACUGACGCUGAGGCACGAAAGCGUGGGGAGCGAACAGG
rnacentral:rRNA from 1 species